CCUAUAUUACAUUUACCAGAUUCCUGCGAGGUUGUUCGUGACAAUAUUUUAAAUGAGAACCAUAAGGAUGUUCAGAUAUUUAUCCGGUUUACACCAUGUGUCAAGUUCCUAUAUAAAUAGAGGAACAAUUGAUUGAUAUCAUAGUACGAUACUAGCCUUCAAAAUAAACAAUCAAAUCACUAUCAAGAUGUUCAAAUACGUAUUCUUCGCCGCUAUUCUGGCUUUCGCCACAGCAAAACCAUUAGUAGUGGAAUACCCAAUAGCUUCGGUAGCUUCCUACUCGACUCCGGUAGCAGUGGAUUACGAUUAUGUUGCACCAUAUUAUUACCCAGGGUCGCGGGAAGCUGCUGGAUACGUGCGCGCAGAACCGAUCGUCGUGGAAAGCAUUAGGG
rnacentral:misc_RNA from 1 species